UGGGAAAAAUAAGACAAUGCAAUGGUCUAAGCAGGCAGUUCUUGACCAGGUCAUUGCAGACAGAUACAUUUUUAUGUUUGGCUGCAACAGAAAUGAGACAGAUGAAGCAGAUUCAUGGUACUCAGGCCCAGGUGUGAGCUGCAUUCCCUAGCCUCUUAUCCAACUAGAUACAUGCUUUGACAUGUUGGCCUCUGCCUAAGGAGCUAGAAAUGGAAUAAUCCCCAUCUAGCUCAAAGGCUCCCAUGACACAGCUCAGUGACUAGCACAACCAGGGACACUCCACCCAGGAGCCACAGCCUGAAACUUCUGAACGCCAUCACCUGAGAGGACAAAGACUCACACUAGGCAGUGCCUCUUAUAAGAUGCUAGGAUAAAGGAGAAAGCUCUUGCCUAAUUCAGAAAAUGUGGUUUUAUUCCUGGAAGACAUCUAUCCAAAGCUUAUUCAGAAUAGGCAGCAGGAAGAAACUAGAGCUGUCCUUUUCCAGUGUAUUACUGUUGUUGAUACAUGCUUCCCAAACAGUGCGUCAGCAGCUGUUAACUUGUACAAGUUACAUACAGUUAUCAUUUGGAAAGCUGCUAAAAGGAAUCCUCUGAUCCCUGCCAGAUACCACAAGCAGCGAACUGCUGGGAUGUUGGAGUCAGAGCCUAAUACAGGAAAUGUUGUACUUCUCCUGCCACCUAGUGGCUGCAACUGAUGCAGCACCACAUCCCUACCGAUGCCUGUAAGACUCGGCGAUGAAGAAUGAGUUCGUAUUUCUGUUCAAGUGUAGUAAAACCUGAGUAGGGACAAAGAGGCAUUUAGAAAACAAUAAUCUAUUUUGAAAAGUCGGAAAUCUGUCAGGCCCCUCACAAACUGCACUCUGCAGGAUGAAAGAAUGUUAAAGUACCAGGAUGAGUCCUAAAGGCCAGAUACUUUGUGAAGCAGCAGCUUUGCUGUUGUUGCUGGCAAUGCAAUACGCUCUGUCUUCAGUAGAUCCCAUCUCUAGGAUUCAUGAGGAUACACAAUUUCCCACUGCCAGGGAGUGCCUUUCUAUUCUACAGAAAGAAGCGAACCUGUCACUGCUGUUUGUGCUGCCUUGAUGUCUUCUCUAGCUUACAUGGAAAAGGGAACCAUUUCACAGGCAUUGGUUUGACUGGUGAAGCUUCUUUCUUUCUGUUUCUUCUCAAAGUCCUAAUCAAGCCAUCUCUUUUCUUUUGGCUUUGUUUGUAUGACAAUCACAGCAGUGCUGAUGGCUGCAGCAGAGAAGCCCACAUAUAUUUCCAAAAUAAGACUGUAAACGCUUCUGGAGUGUGUGACUGUUGUGCUGGGCAUGAGUGGAGCAGCACGGCUACUUCCCAGAAAAGGAGUCUGUGCAAGAACUAUUCUUCACCACCUAAGGCUUAUAAUAGAGGAAAAAUAAAACUAAACUUUUGUUCA